CCGCGCCGUGCGAUCGCAAUAUUAUUUCGUAGUGCACGCGUACGAGCUUUUGGUCCGCGCGCGAGUUUUCGUAUCCCCCCGGUAUCGCGAGCUAUAACGUUGUUAUAACCGCGGGCGCAAGUUAUUCCGCGCGGCACGGGGCUUUUCGGUUUUUGACACGUUGACGCAAGCUCACGGAAUUUCCGUAAUUCGGCACUACAUAUAUAUAUAAUAUAUAUACGUAUAUACAUCCUUUGUACCGCGACACGCACAUUUCUUAGGUAUACCAAACGAAUAACAUAAUAACAGUGUAAUAUUCGUGGUUAAUACCGCGGCGACCGUGUGCGCGCUGGCGCCAGCCACCACGCUCGCUGUCGUUAUUUUGUUUUUGAAUUUUUUUUUUUUUUUGAAUACGUCUUGUAUAUACCCAGGCGGUACUUGCAUCACGAUUUGUUUUUGCGUCUUUCGCAUUUCUCAUAAUAUAUUAAAUACUAAAUACUGAUACAUACACA